rnacentral:rRNA from 1 species
UACGUAGGGUGCAAGCGUUUAAUCGGAAUUACUGGGCGUAAAGCGUGCGCAGGCGGUUGUGCAAGACAGAUGUGAAAUCCCUGGGCUUAACCUGGGAAUUGCAUUUGUGACUGCACGGCUAGAGUGUGUCAGAGGGGGGUAGAAUUCCACGUGUAGCAGUGAAAUGCGUAGAUAUGUGGAGGAAUACCGAUGGCGAAGGCAGCCCCCUGGGAUAACACUGACGCUCAUGCACGAAAGCGUGGGGAGCAAACAGG